ACUCAUGAGCGAGGGUGCUGUACACACACACACACACACACACACAGACACACACCCUGCUCCCUCUGUGUGCGAGUGUGAUGUGAUGCGGUGCGACUGCAUGAAUCCUGCUGUGCAGUCUGAUGUCGUGUGUGGUGACGCCGCUCCAUCAAAGAAACAUGGGACGAGCUGCUGCUUCCAGAAGAGUGGAGAACCUGAAGUGUUUCAUGGGAUGUCACACGGCUUCUACAUCUGAACAGUGAGUCAGCUCUGAAGAUGGAUCUCAAAGAAACCCUGGGACGAGCUGUGAGUCCCCGUGUGGACGAGGGUCAUUAAAGAGGCUCGGACUCUGUCUCCUGGAACCCAGAUGACAAACUGUCUCCUGACGCUCGGGACUGAUGCAGACCUGAAGCACAGAUGUCAAUGAUGAAAUAUUUCAUGGCUUUGCCGGAAACGAGCGCAGCUGAUUGGAUGAGUUCAUCUCUUUAAUCCAACAAGAGGAGCAGAGCAGCGGUUCGUGCAGAGCUCGCCAACAGACUGGCCAAUCACAGCCGAGGAGGAGCGGAUGGAGAGACUCUAAGUUCCUCCGUCAUCGCUCGUUUCCCGAUGUUAGCAACCGAUCUCACAAACUCAGGAAGCUUCAUGUUCGUCCAUUAGAAAUAAAA